rnacentral:rRNA from 1 species
AUGUUCAAGAAGGAUAUCUUGAGGAAACCAUUGGGAGGUUUUGGUUUAGAAAUGGAUCGAAGUGCCUACUCACUUGCUUCAGAAUCAAGCAAACGUCUUGCUUCAGAAAUGGAUCGUAGUGUUGUCUCACUUGCCUCAUUCAAUGGAUUUGCAAAGAAGUUUUCUUGCACAGGUGUAUUUAUAAAGGGCAAAAAAUACUCUGCAACAAUUCUGCCUUCAGCAAGUUUGGUUAGAGUUCCUGGCAGUGCACACAUGAUUGAUGAUAACUUAUGGAUUGAAGUUUGUCUAACAGGCGGAUUUCGAGUUGUAGGGAUGUUGAACUGUUAUAAUUUAUACUACAAUGUUGCUCUUGUUGACAUCAUCGGAUUCUGGCGUCCUCGUACAAUAAAAAUCCAUCGGCAUCCAGUCACCUCAUCUAUGGACGUAAUAGCUGUUGGUAGUCUUUUUGCGCGUCGCAAACUAAUGGCUGUUGAGGGGAAGGUGUUGAUUGGCAAACAAAGCAAACUUGAUUGCAAAGAACUUUGUGUCUCCACCUGUGUAAUCACCAAGGCUGGGAUUGGGGGGCCUCUUAUUGACAAUGAUGGGAAUUUUGUUGGAAUGAACUUCUAUGAUGAGGAAGAAACUCCGUUCCUGCCGAGGGAUGUUAUUCACCGCCUCUUAUUGAACUUAAAUAAAACACGAUAA